rnacentral:lncRNA from 1 species
AAUAAUACAAAGAACAAUAAUACAAAGACAAAGCCAAAUAUGGACCCAAAAGAACAAUAAUUCUCUUUGAAUUUUUCACCCACAUGUUGUUGUCUCUUUGUGUAAGCUGCAUCUUUACUUUGAUGAAGCUUUGAAUUUUUCACCCGUGACUAUCUUUUCACUUUAUGUCUCCACAACACACUUUGAACACUGAAAUACAAAGAUAUAAGUUUAAAAGCCAGGUCAAUAAAGAUUCUCCUCAAACAUUAGAACAUUACACAUAAAGGUUACUUCUAAACCAUCUCCAAAAAACAUUAGAACAUUACACAUAACAAACACAUCUAACACAUAACAGACAAUUCUAAAACUGAAAUAUAACAGACACAAACAUGAUUUUGAAAAUCAUAAAAAUAACAGACACCUAACAGACACAUAACAGUUACAAACAUGACCAUGUAACAAGUUCCAAGUCACUGAUUCUGCAUCAUUUCGGAGAUUAGCUGCAUCUUCAGAGCUUCUUCUUCUUCACAAAGAGGUCCCUUCGCAAUAAGGGAAUCAAGAAGAGCAAUCUUUUGGGUUUCUUUUUUCAAAACCAGUUCUUCUCUUUUCAUACCCCACAUGUUGCUGAACACAUUAACAGCCUCAACCACGUCGACCUUUUUGCCUUUAGCCUUUGCGGCUUUAACACCAGGAGGUCUGACCAUUCCCUGAUUAGCUGCACCAUUCUUGUUUCCAUCUUCAUUCCCCUCUGCAUUUCCAUCAUCGGGUCUCCUCCUUUUACAGCUUGCAUUGGUUUUAAUGGCUGACAAAUCACACCAUUUCUGAUCGUUCUUCAGCUCCUUCCAAGCGUGUUCCAUACUGAAUUUUUUCUUAUGGAUAUUGAAGAAAAUAGCAUGGGCAUUUUUGAGAAUGUCAUUCUCGUUUUGACUGCUAGUUUUUUCUCUUGUUGCAGCCUCAUAAGCCUCACAGAACUUGCACACAAGAUCAUUAAUCUUGUGCCAUCUUUGUUUGCAUUCUCCUGCCUCUCGGACUUCUCCUCCGUUUUGACUCGCUGCGAAAUACAAAGCUAUGCGACUCCAGAAAGUUCCAUUUUUCUGUUCAUUUGCUACAACCGGGUCCUUCGAGGUGUUUAACCACGCGCUGAUGAGAAGGGUAUCUUCCGCAGGGCUCCAAGGUCGUCUUAUCACCUUGCUCGUCACUCCAACUUCUUCUUCUUCAUCGAUGGAAGCUUGGGUACCAAAGGCAUGGUUUUCGAAUGAAGGAUAUGGAUUUGGGUAAGGGUUUACACUCUCUUGUUGACUUUGUAAAAGAUCAACAAAGUUUGAGGGGUUGUUAAAUGGGAAGCGAGAAGACAUAAUGGUUGAAUAGAAAGUGUUAACAACGAGAGAACAGAAAGAUAGAAUAGAAAGAGAGAACAGGUUGUGAGCUUUGAAGAGAAUUUGACUAAGAUGAAUAGAAAGUGAUGAGAACGAGAGAACAGAAAGAGAGAAUAGAAAGAGAGAACAGGUUGUGAGCUUUGAAGACAAUUUGACUAAGAUGAAAGAAAUGCGAAAAAGAGAAGAAUUUAUAAAAGCAUGAAGAACCACAAACAAGAAGCAUUCAUCAUUCUACGCCUACCUUAAACACAACCAUAUACAAGAAGCAUUCAUCACAAGGGUUUAGACUUGACUAGACAGAUAUCUACCUUCUACAUUAACUAAUCCCUUAUUCCAUUUAUUAUCUAACACUACCUAAACCCAUUUAAUACAACUACCUAAUAAGUGAUUGUACCUUACCUUUUCAGGAUAGUGAAGAUGGAUAGCUUUAUGCAGAUGUGCUUCUUCUCUCCUCUUCCUGUCAUUCCGCAACAUUCACUCGUCGUGCAUAGAACAAAGGCGACAAUAAAUAAGAGUUAGCAAACAGAACCUAUACAAACAACAGUUAAUGAACUACAACUACACAAACAAGACAUGGAUAAGACAAUCACAGUUAAUGAAGUUCAACUAUAAAGAAAACAAACAAAUAUAAAGAACUUGACAAACUAAUACCAACGUUCAGGUUAGCUUACAACCGGAACCAUAAAGUACCAAUGCUCAGAACUUAUUUCUUAAACAAAACAAGCAGAGUUAAUGAACGUGUCAAACUAUAAACAAACUUAAACAUAUGCAAACUGAUACAAAGAUGGAAGACAAACUUAAACAAACCAAAACUGAUCCAAAUGUAAUCGUGAGAUUAACUGAAACAUCAAUGGAGUUUUAUGUCGAGCAUGAAUUCUCCUCUUGUCUAUCUUGUCGAAUUACAACUCAAUACAAGAACAGACAAAACAAAAACAAAAUUCCACAUUGAGGCGAUAUCAAAGCCAAAGUCGAAGACCAUAUCAUCCUAGACUAAAUCGGCAUAGAUAUCCAAUCACAACCUAAACCCGAUAAAUCUACACCCUUUUAUUAAACCAUUUC